CAACAGAGUAAGACCACAAAAUAUCAACCGGCGGUUCUCUUUUUUCCUUUUCUAUUUACCCUUUUCCAUUUGUCUGCUUCAUUCAAUUGCCUUUUCCUGUUCCCAGUUUUAGUCUUAACUAUGUCUGCAUAUUAAGAUUCGUUUUAUUUCGACUAUAACGCGGGCUUGCCUGUAAAACUUUAUCUUUAUGUCGCAGUUCAUUAUUUUCCGGGUGCGUUGUACCAAAAAAUGUGGAAGAAUGCAGAAUGAGGGCCUACAGUGGUCACUCUUGAAACUUUCAACGGUUCGUUUACACUUAAGGUCUUCGGUGAAAUAAGAUCUGCCGGGAAACUAGUAGCUGCUAAAUAUUCUUCUAAAAUUUUUUAUGCUGAUGUUGGUUGUGGAAUUGAUUUGUUCACAAACAACAUGUUUAGAUCAUGGGAUUCCUACCUGGAAUCGUUCAUUCCUAUGGAAGAACACGGUGGAUGCCGUCUCUAUGGUACUGAAAUUUAUCAGGGGUCCUGCGGUCAUAGUUGCAGCCUUUAUCAGUAUUGGAUUUCGAGGUAUCUCUUUGCAUAUUGCAAAAGAAGUAUAAUAUCACCAACAUCCUUUCAUCAUUAUACCAAGCUGCAGAAACAUGGGCUCACGCUUUGAAGUCCUCGGUUAUUAGUUAUAGUUGUAAACUGGAAUCGGUUAAAUUAUUCGUAAGAAAUUAUCAUUACGUUGACUAAUCUCCAGUUUAACUGGUGCCUCUAACCAAAAUUGGCUAACCAUGCUGUCUUUGGCGUCUUGAAAUGAGGUCCAUUCGCUACUUGAAUUUGGUAGAGAUAUGGUGUAAAACACACGAACUGUGAUUGAUACUUAUGUGAGGAAUUCGCGAAGUCUUGGGCAUAUUUGUGAUUGACUUGAUCAAGUAAGGAGGCACGCCGUGUUACCAAUACGGAGACUAAUGGAGGAUCUUGGAAGAGAAAAUGGAGGACCUCCAAGAAUAUGGUUUUGGAAAGAGAACUUUUUGUUCUUUGAAGUGUUGUUUCUUACCACUAUACCAAGAGAUCAAUCAUUUAAAGUGGCUAAGCUUCAUGGUGGUCAUCAUC